CCCCCUGCACCCCCAAUCCUAUUCCAACUUGGGACAUCUGACCCUGCUUCCUUUCCCCUGAAUCCAUCCCAGGGAGGACCUUCCCAAUCUCCAGCCCUCUAACACUAAGCCUUCAUCUCAGGGGGUCUUCCCAGGACCCUUUGCAACUUGGCCUGCUGUGUGCCUACCGGUGGCAGGGCCAGCAGCUCCCACCUGGACCUCACCUUGUCAUCCUUGUGGAAGGACAGGCAGGAUGCCCAGCUCACUCCCCGGAUGUACGCAGUCGCCAUCUUGAGAAUGUCCAGCUUGAAGGGCUGCUCGAGGAAGAUGAUGUAGUUCUCGAAAAGAGCAACCCUCAGGAGCUGCCGCGGCCUGGCUGCCCCAGACCACCCUACCAGUAAGAGCCAACACAUCGACCCAAGAAAUGAAGACAUUCUCAGAGAACUGCACAUCCAAGACUGGACCACCACCAAGCCACUGUUAGGUCUCUAGGCCAGGGGUCACUGGACUUCAGUCCAGGAGCCAAAUCCAGCUCCCCACCUCUCUGUGUAAAGGUUUUUUUGGAACACA